AAAUGGAGAAAGAGAGGAUAGAAGACAUGAGCAGGAGAAAGAGAGGAUAGAAGAAAAGGAGAUGGAGAAAGAUAAUAGAAGGCACUCAGGGAGGAUUAUUAGAAACACACCUGUUGUUCAGAGCCUGUGUUUUACGGAUAACGGAUCUGGUACUUGUGUUUUACGGAUAACGGGACUGGAACGUUAUUACUGUAUGUGUGUGAUUGAGGAAUGUUAUUGUGUGUGUGUGAUUGAGGAACGUUAUUGUGUGUGUUUGUGUGUGUGUGUGGGCGGGGGGGGGGGGGGUCUCACAAGCUAGACGCACUGUUGUAUUGUGUAUUUGGAUCUCCUGAGACCGGCCGGGGAAGAGAGCGAGCUUUUAUCCUGAGCGUAACUAUGGGUCACUCUUAUCCUGAGCGUAACUAUGGGUCACUUUUAUCCUGAGCGCAACUAUGGUUCACUCUUAUCCUGAGCGUAACUAUAGGUCACUCUUAUCCUCAGCGUAGCUAUGGGUCACUGCUUAUCCUGAGCGUAACUAUGGUAACAAUGGGUCACAGUUAUCCUGAGCGUAACUAUAGGUCACUCUUAUCCUGAGUGUAACUAUGGUAACUAUGGGUCACUCUGUCCAGCCUCCAAGAACACUCUCUGUCUCUUGUUCAUUCUGCUGGAGGUUUCAGACAGAGGUGUGUGUGUGUGUGUGUGUGUGUGUGUGUGAGACCUCUCUAUGGUAACUGUUGGAUGAUACCGGGUCAAGUAACGGAGGGGUUUCUGCAGGCAUGAUGUGUGGUGCAUUGGUUGGUCACUCACAAACAGUACUGCAGUGCCACCUAGUGGUGACACAAAUGAACAGUCCUGAGAAUCCUCCCAGCUGAUGUUCAGCUAAUGACAGAGGUCUUUAGGGGACAGAAGUGUUUAGGGGACAGAGGUCUUUAGGGGACAGAAGUCUUUAGAGGACAGAAAUCUUUAGGGGACAGAAGUGUUUAGUGGACAGAAGUGUUUAAGGGAACAGAGGUCUUUAGAGGACAGAAGUGUUUAGGGGAAGACAGAGGUGUUUAGAGUACACUUGAUGGAGUGUAAGAUGGCUCUGAUUCGGCUCCACCCACAUAAGAUGGGAGACCAAAGCCUCUAGGGGCAGAUAGAGGUCUUUAGGGGCAGAUAGAGGACUUUAGGGGCAGAUAGAGGUCUUUAGUGGGGGAUAGAGGACCUUAGGGGCAGAUAGAGGACUUUAGGGGCAGAUAGAGGUCUUUAGGGGUGGAUAGAGGUCUUUGAAUGUAAUAUAGCUCUGAUUGUCUGCACUACAGUAGUAGCUUCAUGACACACACACACAGACGAGGAAACAGGUGGCCCUUAAGGAGAGUAUCCCAUGAAGACACACACAGAGACACACACACAGACAAGGGAACAGGUGGGCCUUAAGGAGAGUUUCCCAUAAACACACAUGUGGCCUAUACGUUGUAGUGAGUUUUCCCACCGCAUCUCCUGCACUCUGUGCUGUGAUUGGCUCUCCAGGAGUCACAUGUCAGUACCAGACAUCAGUCACAUGACACAUACUCUUCCUUCGGAACUAUUCUCUGGGGUUCAAGACGGACAAAACGCCACAAAGCUGAUUCAAAGCAUAUGAUAUGAAAAGGCACACACACACUUACACACAUAUUCCUGUAUAGGAUUUUGGAGAAGCAGAUGGCAAUGGGGAUAUCAUUACCACAGAUAUGUUUAUAGCGUGCCGUGUAGCUAUGAGCCAUAUCAAAAUAAAGCGCUAUUUUCAAACCACUGGCAAGGCUCAAAGUAGCCUUACACUUCAGUGGUUGUGUGGACAGGGUCCCUGCAGACAAACCCAAGUAUUAUAAACUUUGAAAGUGUACAGAGAGGUUUGGCUGAAUCUUAGUUGAAGUGAACGUGCCCACUGAGUUGAAGGUGCCCACUGAUGUGACGCUACCGGAUAAGAAGUGAGUCAAUACGCUGCCUUCAGAAACAGCCCUUGUUAGGACCUCUGUAACCUUACACUGUUUACUAUACUUCAGUUUGUCUGUAGGGACCCUCCACACGACCACCGAAGUGUAAGCUAGUGUCAGUGUCAGUGGUUUGAAAAUAGUGAUUUGUUUGACGCGGUUCUAUGCCUCAUAGCUACACGCUAUAAAUCGUUUCAUUCCUAAUGGCUGUUUAAACACGGGAUCUUUCCUUUAAAGGCCACAGUGCUGCUGGGGUGCUCUCCAGUCAUUUCAGCCCUCUAACAGCUGAGAGGCAGAGGAGGGUGGGGUGACAAACGGAAGAGUGUGUGUGUGUGUGUGCGUGUGUUUGUUUUGUCCCGUGAUGUAAUCCUUCCAAUCACAGUUGCAAGUCCAUUCCCUCUAAAACACAUACACACAAUAUCACAAUACUUUCAUACCCAUGGACCGACUGGCACAAACAUAUACACUCUCUCACACACACACACACACACACACACACACACACA